CAAAGGGAUUACCGGUGGCGGAUGGGCAUGCGGCGCAUUAGCUAGUCGGCGGGGUAACGGCCCACCGAGGCGACGAUGCGUAGGGGUUCUGAGAGGAAGGUCCCCCACACUGGUACUGAGACACGGACCAGACUCCUACGGGAGGCAGCAGUGAGGAAUAUUGGUCAAUGGGCGCGAGCCUGAACCAGCCAAGUCGCGUGAGGGAUGACGGUCCUACGGAUUGUAAACCUCUUUUGCCGGGGAGCAAGCGUGCGUUCGUGAACGCGCGUCGAGAGUACCCGGAGAAAAAGCAUCGGCUAACUCCGUGCCAGCAGCCGCGGUAAUACGGAGGAUGCGAGCGUUAUCCGGAUUUAUUGGGUUUAAAGGGUGCGUAGGCGGGAUGCCAAGUCAGCGGUAAAAAUGCGGUGCUCAACGCCGUCGAGCCGUUGAAACUGGCGUUCUUGAGUGGGCGAGAAGUAUGCGGAAUGCGUGGUGUAGCGGUGAAAUGCAUAGAUAUCACGCAGAACUCCGAUUGCGAAGGCAGCAUACCGGCGCCCUACUGACGCUGAGGCACGAAAGCGUGGGUAUCAAACAGGAUUAGAUACCCUGGUAGUCCACGCAGUAAACGAUGAAUGCU
rnacentral:rRNA from 1 species